AUUGAACGCUGGCGGCAGGCCUAACACAUGCAAGUCGAGCGGCAGCGGGAAAGUAGCUUGCUACUUUUACCGGCGAGCGGCGGACGGGUGAGUAAUGCCUGGGAAAUUGCCCAGUCGAGGGGGAUAACAGUUGGAAACGACUGCAAAUACCGCAGACGCACUACGAGGGAAAGCAGGCGUCCUUCGGCCUUCGCGCGAUUGGGUAUGCACAGGUGGGAUUAGCUAGUUGGUGAGGUGAUGGCUCACCAAGGCGACGAUCCCUAGCUGGUCUGAGAGGAUGAUCAGCCACACUGGAACUGAGACACGGUCCAGACUCCUACGGGAGGCAGCAGUGGGGAAUAUUGCACAAUGGGGGAAACCCUGAUGCAGCCAUGCCGCGUGUGUGAAGAAGGCCUUCGGGUUGUAAAGCACUUUCAGCGAGGAGGAAAGGUUGAUGCUUAAUACGUAUCAACUGUGACGUUACUCGCAGAAGAAGCACCGGCUAACUCCGUGCCAGCCGCCGCAGUAACAC
rnacentral:rRNA from 1 species